AGUGAACGCUGGCGGUAGGCCUAACACAUGCAAGUCGAACGGCAGCACAGUAAGAGCUUGCUCUUACGGGUGGCGAGUGGCGGACGGGUGAGGAAUACAUCGGAAUCUACUUUUUCGUGGGGGAUAACGUAGGGAAACUUACGCUAAUACUGCAUACGACCUACGGGUGAAAGCAGGGGAUCUUCGUACCUUGCGCGAUUGAAUGAGCCGAUGUCGGAUUAGCUAGUUGGCGGGGUAAAGGCCCACCAAGGCGACGAUCCGUAGCUGGUCUGAGAGGAUGAUCAGCGACACUGGAACUGAGACACGGUCCAGACUCCUACGGGAGGCAGCAGUGGGGAAUUUUGGACAAUGGGCGCGAGCCUGAUCCAGCCAUACCGCGUGGGUGGAGAAGGCCUUCGGGUUGUAAAGCCCUUUUGUUGGGAAAGAAAGGCAGCAGGUUGAUACCCCGCUGUUCUGACGGUACCCAAAGAAUAAGCGCCGGCUAACUUCGUG
rnacentral:rRNA from 1 species